ensembl:lncRNA
AUGCAAGGGAAUACAUCUCUUAUAUUGAAUCUCCAGAUUUUUACUUUAAAAAAAAUAUUUUGGAUCUCUUGGAAAGCCCCCAAAGGGCAAUUCAGUGGAUAUAAGCUUCUUGUCACUCCAAGUUCAGGUGGGAAAACCAAUCAAUUAGUUCUUCAAAACACUGCAACCAAAGCAAUUAUUCAAGGUCUUAUUCCAGAUCAAAACUAUGCCCUUCAGAUCAUUGCAUUCAGUGAAGACAAGGAGAGUAAGCCAGCACAAGGCCAGUUCAGAAUUAAAGAUAUAGAGAGAAGAAAAGAAACAAGUAAAUCCAAGGUGAAGGAUCCAGAAAAAACAAAUGCGAGUAAACCAGCUCCAGAAGGAAGCCUGUUUACGUGUAAAACUCCAGCAAUUGCAGAUAUUGUGAUACUGGUGGAUGGUUCUUGGAGUAUUGGCAGGUUCAAUUUCAGACUUGUUCGACUGUUCCUGGAAAAUCUGGUUUCUGCUUUCAAUGUGGGAUCUGAGAAAACAAGAGUAGGUCUUGCACAGUACAGUGGUGAUCCCCGAAUUGAAUGGCAUUUGAAUGCCUAUGGCACAAAAGAUGCUGUUUUGGAUGCAGUCCGCAAUUUGCCAUAUAAGGGAGGGAAUACAUUAACAGGUCUUGCCUUAACUUAUAUUUUGGAAAACAGCUUUAAGCCUGAAGCAGGUGCAAGACCUGGAGUAUCUAAAAUUGGUAUACUCAUCACUGAUGGAAAGUCCCAAGAUGAUGUUAUCCCUCCUGCUAAAAACUUACGAGAUGCUGGCAUUGAGCUGUUUGCUAUUGGUGUAAAGAAUGCAGAUAUAAAUGAACUCAAAGAGAUUGCCUCUGAGCCCGACAGCACGCACGUCUACAACGUUGCUGACUUUAACUUCAUGCAUACCAUUGUUGAAGGUCUUACCAGAACAGUGUGCUCACGAGUAGAGGAACAGGAAAAGGAAAUCAAAGGAACAAUUGUUGCUUCACUUGGGGCUCCUUCGGAUUUGGUCACAUCCGAGGUAACAGCUAGAGGAUUCCGGGUUAGCUGGACACAUGCACCAGGAAAAGUUGAAAAAUACAGGGUUGUGUACUAUCCCACUCGAGGAGGACAACCAGAAGAGGUUGUGGUAGAUGGAAGCUUAUCGACAGCAGUGCUGAAAAACCUAAUGUCUUUGACUGAAUACCAGAUAGCUGUGUUUGCAAUAUACUCCAAUGCUGCUAGUGAGGGCCUCCGUGGAACUGAAACUACACUUGCCUUGCCAAUGGCGUCAGAUCUGCAAUUGUAUGAUGUGUCACAGAGCAGCAUGAGAGCAAAGUGGAAUGGAGUGGCGGGUGCCACAGGUUACAUGAUCCUAUAUGCUCCCCUCACGGAAGGACUGGCAGCAGAUGAGAAGGAGAUAAAAAUUGGGGAGGCCUCAACAGAUCUUGAACUGGAUGGACUAUUGCCAAAUACAGAAUAUACAGUCACAGUUUAUGCCAUGUUUGGAGAAGAAGCUAGUGAUCCCCUUACAGGACAAGAAACUACAUUGCCUCUAAGUCCACCAGCAAACUUGAAAUUUUCUGAUGUUGGACACAGUAGUGCUAAGCUAACGUGGGAUCCUGCUUCCAAAAAUGUAAAUGGCUAUCGCAUCAUGUACGUUAAAACAGAUGGAACAGAAACCAAUGAGGUGGAAGUUGGUCGUGUUUCAACCCAUACUCUAAAAAGCCUGACAUCCCUUACAGAGUACACUGUUGCUAUUUUCUCCCUGUAUGAUGAAGGACAAUCUGAACCACUUACUGGCAGCUUUACCACAAAAAGAGUUCCAGCUCCCCAGCAUUUGGAAAUUGAUGAAGCAUCAACAGAUAGUUUUAGGGUCAGCUGGAAGCCCACCUCCUCAGAUAUUGCUUUUUACAGAUUGGCAUGGAUUCCUUUGGACGGGGGGGAUUCUGAAGAGGUUGUCAUAAAUGGAGAUGCAGACAGUCACGUUAUUGAGGGUUUGUUGCCCAACACAGAAUAUGAAGUUUCUUUGCUGGCAGUUUUUGACGAUGAAACGGAAAGUGAAGCUGUUGCUGUUCUUGGAGCUACAUUUGCAGAGACAACCAUGCUACCGACCACUGUGUCUACUACCAUUUUUCGAACAGGAAUCAGAAACCUUGUUAUAGACGAUGAAACAACCUCAAGCCUGAGGGUGAUGUGGGACAUUUCAGAUUACAGUGUUCAGCAGUUCAGAGUGACCUAUCUCACUGCGAAAGGAGACCGUGCUGAGGAAGCGGUAAGAAUGGUAAUGGUGCCGGGGAGACAAAAUACUUUUCUGCUUCAGCCUCUGAUGUCUGACACAGAAUACAAAGUUACCAUCACUCCCAUCUACUCUGAUGGGGAAGGAGUCAGUGUCUCAGCUCCUGGCAAAACUUUACCCCUGUCUGCUCCUAGGAAUUUACGUGUGUCAGAUGAAUGGUACAACAGAUUACGCAUCAGUUGGGAUGCCCCGCCAUCACCCACAAUGGGUUACAGAAUUGUCUACAAACCUAUCAACAUUCCUGGUCCUGCAUUGGAGACCUUUGUAGGGGAUGAUAUUAAUACCAUUCUUGUUCUAAAUCUCUUCAGUGGAACGGAGUACAGUGUUAAAGUAUUUGCUUCAUACUCAACAGGCUUCAGUGAUGCCCUAACAGGCGUAGCCAAAACCUUGUACCUGGGUGUGACAAAUUUGGAUUCCUAUCAAGUCCGCAUGACUAGCCUCUGCGCUCAGUGGCAGCUUCACAGACAUGCCACUGCGUACAGGGUUGUUAUAGAGUCGCUUGUGGAUGGGAAGAAGCGAGAGGUAAAUCUUGGUGGAGGGACGCCUAGACAUUGUUUCUUUGAGCUGAUGCCUGGAACUGAAUAUAAAAUCAGUGUUCAUGCACAGCUUCAGGAGAUAGAGGGCCCUGCUGUAAUACCAUUUCCAACUCAACCACCAACAACACCUUCAACACCACCUCCACCACCUACAAUCCCUCCUGCGAAAGAGGUGUGCAAAGCAGCCAAAGCUGACCUAGCGUUCCUGGUGGAUGGGUCAUGGAGUAUUGGAGAUGACAAUUUCAAUAAAAUAAUCAGCUUUCUCUACAGCACUGUUGGAGCUUUGGAUAAGAUUGGUCCUGAUGGAACGCAGGUGGCGAUAAUUCAGUUCAGUGAUGAUCCCAGGACAGAAUUUAAAUUGAAUGCAUAUAAAACAAAAGAGACUCUUCUUGAAGCUAUUCAGCAAAUAGCCUACAAAGGAGGGAAUACAAAAACAGGCAAAGCCAUUAAACAUGCAAGAGAAGUCUUGUUUACGGGAGAGGCGGGCAUGAGGAGGGGCAUUCCGAAGGUUUUGGUUGUCAUUACUGAUGGGCGAUCACAGGACGAUGUGAACAAAGUCUCCAGAGAAAUGCAACUGGAUGGUUUCAGCUUUUUUGCUAUUGGAGUAGCUGAUGCUGACUAUUCGGAGUUAGUUAAUAUUGGCAGCAAACCCAGUGAAAGACAUGUCUUCUUUGUGGAUGACUUUGACGCCUUCACAAAGAUUGAAGAUGAGCUGAUCACUUUUGUUUGUGAAACUGCAUCAGCAACCUGCCCAUUGGUAGUUAAAGAUGGCAACAAUUUUGCAGGAUUUAAAAUGAUGGAAAUGUUUGGUUUGGUUGAAAAGGAGUUUUCAGCUGUGGAAGGGGUUUCAAUGGAACCCGGUACAUUUAAUGUUUACCCAUGCUACAGACUGCACAAGGAUGCCCUGGUAUCCCAGCCUACCAAGUAUUUGCAUCCUGAAGGUCUUCCUUCUGAUUACACCAUUACGUUUCUCUUUCGUAUCCUCCCCGACACACCUCAAGAGCCAUUUGCUCUUUGGGAGAUUUUAAAUGAAGCAUAUGAACCACUGGUUGGAGUUAUUUUAGAUAAUGGUGGCAAAACUCUGACUUUCUUUAACUACGACUACAAAGGAGAUUUUCAAACUGUCACGUUUGAAGGUCCUGAAAUAAGGAAGAUAUUUUAUGGGAGCUUUCAUAAGUUGCAUGUUGUUAUCAGCAAGACUACGGCUAAAAUAAUUAUUGACUGCAAGCAAGUGAGUGAGAAGACCAUUAAUGCAGCAGGGAAUAUCAGUUCUGAUGGCAUAGAAGUGCUGGGGAGGAUGGUCAGAUCCAGAGGACCAAGAGAUAACUCUGCACCACUGCAGUUACAGAUGUUUGACAUUGUUUGUGCUACCUCAUGGGCCAAUCGGGACAAAUGCUGUGAGCUUCCUGGCUUGGGACCAGAUGGACCUCGAGGUGAAAUUGGUGUUCCCGGACCACAAGGACCUCCAGGACCACAAGGACCCAGUGGACUUUCUAUUCAAGGGCUUCCAGUGAGACUUACAAAAUCAAUAUGUUAUGACACUGCUCCUGUUGUUGUCCAGGGUGAUCUCCAGUCCCAAGCAAUGGUGCGUGCUGUUGCUCGGCAAGUGUGUGAGCAACUCAUCCAGGGUCAUAUGGCAAGAUAUAACUCAAUUCUGAACCAGAUUCCAAGCCAGUCUGUCUCAACCCGAACCAUCGCAGGACCCCCUGGUGAGCCAGGUCGGCCAGGGGCUCCAGGGCCACAAGGAGAACAAGGUUCCCCAGGCAUGCAAGGGUUUCCAGGAAGUCCCGGUCAACCAGGAAGACCAGGAGAAAGAGGUUUACCAGGCGAGAAGGGAGAAAAAGGCAAUCCAGGAGUUGGAACACAAGGACCCCGAGGCCCACCAGGAUCUACAGGACCUCCAGGAGAAAGUCGAACUGGCAGCCCGGGACCACCAGGUUCUCCAGGCCCACGAGGUCCCCCCGGCCACACGGGGCCCCCGGGUUCCCAGGGUCCUUCAGGCCCGCCGGGGUACUGCGACCCGUCCUCCUGCGCGGGGGUGGCAUUUCCUAACAGCCAAAAUAAGAUGGAGACUACUGGCCAACCUUGGUAG